GAUGAACGCUGGCGGCGUGCCUAAUACAUGCAAGUCGAGCGAACGGACGAGACGCUUGCUUCUUUGAUGUUAGCGGCGGACGGGUGAGUCACACGUGGAUACCCUACCUAUAAGACUGGGAACACUUCGAGACACCGGCGCUAAUACCGGAUGAUAUUUUGAACCGCAUGGUUCAAAGGUGAAAGACGGUCUUGCUGUCACUUCUAGAUGGAUCCGCGCUGCAUUAGCUAGUUGGUAAGGUAACGGCCUAUCAAGGCAACGAUGCAUAGCCGACGUGUGAGGGUGAUAGGCCACACGGGAACGUAGACAGGGACCAGAGGCCUACGGGAGGCCGCAGUAGGGAACGGUACGCAAUAGUCGAGAGCCUGACGGAGCGGCGCCACGCGAGUGGUGGAGGUCUCCGGAUCGUGAUGCUCGCUUAUUAGUGAAGAACAGAUGUGGAAGUAACUGAACACAGCGUGACGGUACCUAGUAAGAAAGCCACGGCUAACUACGUG
rnacentral:rRNA from 1 species